rnacentral:rRNA from 1 species
GAUGAACGCUGGCGGCGUGCCUAAUACAUGCAAGUCGAGCGAACAGAUAAGGAGCUUGCUCCUUUGACGUUAGCGGCGGACGGGUGAGUAACACGUGGGUAACCUACCUAUAAGACUGGGAUAACUUCGGGAAACCGGAGCUAAUACCGGAUAACAUUUGGAACCGCAUGGUUCUAAAGUGAAAGAUGGUUUUGCUAUCACUUAUAGAUGGACCCGCGCCGUAUUAGCUAGUUGGUAAGGUAACGGCUUACCAAGGCAACGAUACGUAGCCGACCUGAGAGGGUGACCGGCCAACCUGAACCUGAGACCCGGUCCAGCCUCCUACGGGAGGCAGCGGUAGGAAUCUUCCGCAAUGGGCGAAAGCCUGACGGAGCAACGCCGCGUGAGUGAUGAAGGGUUUCGGCUCGUAAAACUCUGUUAUUAGGGAAGAACAAAUGUGUAAGUAACUGUGCACGUCUUGACGGUACCUAAUCAGAAAGCCACGGCUAACUACGUG